CCUUGCUGUCGCCAGCCCGGGGACCAGCUAUCUUUGGCCCGGGGGGGGGGCGAGCCCGGCAGCGGGCCGGGGCCCCCAGCUGCCCCCCUUCCCCCCGAGCCGCCGUCUGCGGAGCCCCGGGGCUGCGGCGCCGGGGAAGUUAGAUAAAUUAUCGUCUGUGCGGCCGGCCGGUGCCUAUGCUCCUCAGAUAAUGCAGCUCGAAUUAGGCUGCGGCCAGAUCGGGUGAUGGGCUGCCGUGGGAUCGAUCGCUGCUUCCCCAGAGCACAAGCUUCCCCGCACCAGCGGGAGGUUCCCUCGAGGUGCGGCUCCUCCGUGGGGGAAACCCACGCCACGGCUGCCCCUCUGCAGCCGGCAACGGAAUAUACCCCAGAGCAACCCCACACGCG